CCUACGGGAGGCAGCAGUGGGGAAUAUUGGGCAAUGGGCGAAAGCCUGACCCAGCAACGCCGCGUGAUUGAAGAAGGUCUUCGGAUUGUAAAGAUCUGUCCUAUGGGAAGAAAAAAAUGACGGUACCAUAGGAGGAAGCCCCGGCUAACUACGUGCCAGCAGCCGCGGUAAU
rnacentral:rRNA from 1 species